AUUGAACGCUGGCGGCAUGCCUUACACAUGCAAGUCGAACGGUAACAGGUCUUCGGAUGCUGACGAGUGGCGAACGGGUGAGUAAUACAUCGGAACGUGCCUAGUAGUGGGGGAUAACUACUCGAAAGAGUGGCUAAUACCGCAUGAGAUCUACGGAUGAAAGCAGGGGAUCGCAAGACCUUGUGCUACUAGAGCGGCCGAUGGCAGAUUAGGUAGUUGGUGGGAUAAAAGCUUACCAAGCCGACGAUCUGUAGCUGGUCUGAGAGGACGAUCAGCCACACUGGGAGUGAGACACGGCCCAGACUCCUACGGGGGGCAGCAGUGGGGAAUUUUGGACAAUGGGCGAAAGCCUGAUCCAGCAAUGCCGCGUGCAGGAUGAAGGCCUUCGGGUUGUAAACUGCUUUUGUACGGAACGAAAAGCCCCGGGUUAAUACCCUGGGGUCAUGACGGUACCGUAAGAAUAAGCACCGGCUAACUACGUGCCAGCAGCCGCCGUAA
rnacentral:rRNA from 1 species